GACGAACGCUGGCGGCGUGCUUAACACAUGCAAGUCGAACGCUGAAGCUUGGUGCUUGCACUGGGUGGAUGAGUGGCGAACGGGUGAGUAAUACGUGAGUAACCUGCCCUUGACUCUGGGAUAAGCCUGGGAAACUGGGUCUAAUACUGGAUACGACAUGUCACCGCAUGGUGGUGUGUGGAAAGGGUUUUACUGGUUUUGGAUGGGCUCACGGCCUAUCAGCUUGUUGGUGGGGUAAUGGCUCACCAAGGCGACGACGGGUAGCCGGCCUGAGAGGGUGACCGGCCACACUGGGACUGAGACACGGCCCAGACUCCUACGGGAGGCAACAGUGGGGAAUAUUGCACAAUGGGCGGAAGCCUGAGGCAGCGACGCCGCGGGAGUGAUGACGGCCUUCGGGUUGUAAACCUCUUUCAGCACGGAAGAAGCGAAAGUGACGGUACGUGCAGAAGAAGCGCCGGCUAACUACGUG
rnacentral:rRNA from 1 species